rnacentral:lncRNA from 1 species
AGGUGUGAGAGAUCCAAUGUGGGUGCUGGAAACUGAACCCAGGUCCUCUGGGAGAGCAACAAAGGCUCUUAACCACUGAGCUAUCUCUCCAGCCACCUAGUUAUCAUUUUUUUAGUGGUGAAAUAUUCAAAACCAAUCUCAAUGAGAUACCGCCUUAUUUGAGCCUGUUAGAAUAGUGAUUAUCAAAAAGACCAAAGAAAACAAGUGCUGAUGAGGAUGGAAGAAAAGGAUACUCCACAAGAUGGUGGUGGGAUUGAAAAUUACUAUAUUGUUACAGAAAUCAACAUAGAAUUCUCACAGAAGUCUAGAAAUAAACCUAUCAUAUGAUCAGAUGCACUUCUCAGCAUAUACACAAAGGAAAUAAAAUUAGUACAUCAAGACAUCAUGCUCCCAAAUUCAUUGCAGCACUAUUUAGAAUAUAAUAGCCAAAGUAUGGAAUCAACAUAAGUGAUGGUUUAGCAACGAAUGUAUUAAGAAAAUGCAAUAACCAUAAAUAGUGUGAUGCUGUUUGGCAUAAAAAGGUGAAACCUGUCAUUUGUACCUACAGUGGUAACAUGCCAACAGCUCCCCUCCUAGGACCCUUCCAUUCUGUUUCUCACACAGCAGUGAGAUCAGCUUCUCCAAAUGAAGGAUUCUGCUUCAAAGGCUUCCCAUUGUUCAAGUGUGAAGACAUCCUUGUGUAGACCUUGCUGUUCUCAACUUCAUCUGCUGUAUUGGCUCUGGCUGUCCGGUUUUCAGGCAUGCUGAUUUGAAGAAUUGAAAAUCACCCUGCUGGAGGUCUGAAGUCCACAGACCCUGUGAAGACAGAGCACUGACAAGAAAUCCAAGCCUGUUGGUUUCCUGAACUCCACCCCUAGAAGACUGAAGGAUGCUUGCCAUACUGGCAUGUGAGAAAGUGAUCUGUCUCAGUGGUACCUCUUCUUUCAGCAAUUUGUUUUACUGUCUUCUCUUUAGACAAGCUCUAAUGACAACAAGCACACUGCUCACAGUGGGUCGAUUGUUUGGCUGAUCUUAUGUUUUGGGGAAGUGUUGCUACCAAGGCCUUGCUUCAAGCUCAAAGCAUUUGGAGCAGCUGCAUUGAUUCAGAUUUCCCGGGGCAGGAGGUAAAGCCUGGUCUUGUGCUCUUAGAACCAGUUACCUAAGCUGUGUCUCUUCUAUUUGUCUUGAAAAUCUGGUAGAGCCUAGAGACACACCUGCAUGCCUCACCUUGGACCUUCUGAGUCCAGAGUUAGACUCCUUUCAAUGCAAUGGAAUCUGUAGUCCCAUGCACACGUGUAUUCAGCACAUCUUAAUAAGAGGUAGCUUUUCUUCUCAAG